rnacentral:tRNA from 2 species
CGCGGGGUGGAGCAGUGGAAGCUCGCGAGGCUCAUAACCUCGAGGUCGCAGGUUCGAAUCCUGCCCCCGCAA